AAUCUUCCACAAUGGGCGAAAGCCUGAUGGAGCAACGCCGCGUGAGUGAAGAUGGUUUUCGGAUCGUAAAACUCUGUUGUAAGGGAAGAACAAGUACAGUAGUAACUGGCUGUACCUUGACGGUACCUUAUUAGAAAGCCACGUCUAACUACGUGCCACCAGCCGCGGUAAUACGUAGGUGGCAAUCGUUGUCCGGAAUUAUUGGGCGUAAAGCGCGGGCAGGGGGUCCUUUAAGUCUGAUGGAAAAGCCCACGGCUCAACCGUGGAGGGUCAUUGGAAACUGGGGGACUUGAGUGCAGAAGAGGAAAGUGGAAUUCCAAGUGUAGCGGUGAAAUGCGUAGAGAUUUGGAGGAACACCAGUGGCGAAGGCGACUUUCUGGUCUGUAACUGACGCUGAGGCGCGAAAGCGUGGGGAGCAAACA
rnacentral:rRNA from 1 species